rnacentral:rRNA from 1 species
AUUGAACGCUGGCGGCAGGCCUAACACAUGCAAGUCGAGCGGAUGAAGGGAGCUUGCUCUCUGAUUCAGCGGCGGACGGGUGAGUAAUGCCUAGGAAUCUGCCUGGUAGUGGGGGACAACGUUUCGAAAGGAACGCUAAUACCGCAUACGUCCUACGGGAGAAAGUGGGGGACCUUCGGACCUCACGCUAUCAGAUGAGCCAGGGUCGGAUUAGCUAGUUGGUGGGGUAAAGGCCUACCAAGGCGACGAUCCGUAACUGGUCUGAGAGGAUGAUCAGUCACACUGGAACUGAGACACGGUCCAGACUCCUACGGGAGGCAGCAGUGGGGAAUAUUGGACAAUGGGCGAAAGCCUGAUCCAGCCAUGCCGCGUGUGUGAAGAAGGUCUUCGGAUUGUAAAGCACUUUAAGUUGGGAGGAAGGGCAGUAAGUUAAUACCUUGCUGUUUUGACGUUACCGACAGAAUAAGCACCGGCUAACUUCGUGCCAGCCGCCGCGGUAACAC